CCUACGGGUGGCAGCAGUGAGGAAUAUUGGUCAAUGGGCGCGAGCCUGAACCAGCCAAGUAGCGUGAAGGAUGACUGCCCUACGGGUUGUAAACUUCUUUUAUAAAGGAAUAAAGUGAGGCACGUGUGCCUUAUUGGAUGUACUUUAUGAAUAAGCAUCGGCUAACUCCGUGCCAGCAGCCGCGGUAAAACGGAGGAUCCGAGCGUUAACCGGAUUUAUUUGGUUUAAAGGGGGCGUAGAUGGGUUGUUAAGUCAGUUGUGAAUGUUUGCGGCUCAACCGUAAAAUUGCAAUUGAAACUGGCAGCCUUGAGUACAGUUGAGGUAGGCGGAAUUCGUGGUGUAGCGGUGAAAUGCUUAGAUAUCACGAAGAACUCCGAUUGCGAAGGCAGCUUACUAAACUGCCACUGACAUUGAUGCUCGAAAGUGUGGGUAUCAAACAGGAUUAGAUACCCCUGUAGUC
rnacentral:rRNA from 1 species